AUUGAACGCUGGCGGCAUGCCUUACACAUGCAAGUCGAACGGCAGCACGGGAGCAAUCCUGGUGGCGAGUGGCGAACGGGUGAGUAAAGCAUCGGAACGUGCCCAGUCGUGGGGGAUAACGUAGCGAAAGCUACGCUAAUACCGCAUACGAUCUGUGGAUGAAAGCGGGGGACCGUAAGGCCUUGCGCGAUUGGAGCGGCCGAUGUCAGAUUAGGUAGUUGGUGAGGUAAAGGCUCACCAAGCCGACGAUCUGUAGCUGGUCUGAGAGGACGACCAGCCACACUGGGACUGAGACACGGCCCAGACUCCUACGGGAGGCAGCAGUGGGGAAUUUUGGACAAUGGGCGCAAGCCUGAUCCAGCAAUGCCGCGUGCAGGAUGAAGGCCUUCGGGUUGUAAACUGCUUUUGUACGGAGCGAAACGGCUUCCACUAAUACUGGGGGCUAAUGACGGUACCGUAAGAAAUAGCACCGGCUAACUACGUGCCAGCCGCCGCGGUAAUAC
rnacentral:rRNA from 1 species